AAGGCAGACCUAAGAUGCUGGUCCAGCGAAGAAUUUUCUUCCCAGGUCUUUCUUUUCCAGGUCCUCCUAAUGGACGCUGGCUUGUCGACAAUGCAGCACGUCGUUCUUUGACAGACAGAUAG